UUGGCCUCGGAUCAGGUAGGGCUACCCGCUGAACUUAAGCAUAUCAAUAAGCGGAGGAAAAGAAAGCAACUGCGAUUGCCCCAGUAACGGCGAGUGAAGAGGCAGCAGCCCAGAUUUG
rnacentral:rRNA from 1 species